CCUACGUGUGGCAGCAGUGGGGAAUCUUCCGCAAUGGACGAAAGUCUGACGGAGCAACGCCGCGUGAGUGAUGACGGCCUUCGGGUUGUAAAGCUCUGUUAAUCGGGACGAAAGGCCUUCUUGCGAAUAGUGAGAAGGAUUGACGGUACCGGAAUAGAAAGCCACGGCUAACUACGUGCCAGCGGCCGCGGUAAUACGUAGGUGGCAAGCGUUGUCCGGAAUUAUUGGGCGUAAAGCGCGCGCAGGCGGAUCGGUCAGUCUGUCUUAAAAGUUCGGGGCUUAACCCCGUGAUGGGAUGGAAACUGCCAAUCUAGAGUAUCGGAGAGGAAAGUGGAAUUCCUAGUGUAGCGGUGAAAUGCGUAGAUAUUAGGAAGACCACCAGUGGCGAAGGCGACUUUCUGGACGAAAACUGACGCUGAGGCGCGAUAGCCAGGGGAGCGAACGGGAUUAGAUACCCUUGUAGUC
rnacentral:rRNA from 1 species